GUCUUGAAACACGGACCAAGGAGUCUAGCAUGUGCGCGAGUCAUUGGGAACAACUAAACCUAAAGGCGCAAUGAAAGUGAAGGUCCGCCUCGCGCGGACCGAGGGAAGAUGGGCGGUAACCGCCAUAAGAUGGUCCCGCCCCGCACUCCCGGGGCGUCUCGUUCUCAUUCCGAGAAGAGGCGCACCAAGAGCGUACACGCUGGGACCCGAAAGAUGGUGAACUAUGCCUGGUCAGGACGAAGUCAGGGGAAACCCUGAUGGAGGUCCGUAGCGAUUCUGACGUGCAAAUCGAUCGUCGGAACUGGGUAUAGGGGCGAAAGACUAAUCGAACCAUCUAGUAGCUGGUUCCCUCCGAAGUUUCCCUCAGGAUAGCUGGCGCUCGUCGCCUACGAGUCUCAUCCGGUAAAGCGAAUGAUUAGAGGCAUUGGGGUCGAAACGGCCUCAACCUAUUCUCAAACUUUAAAUGGGUGAGAUCUCCGGCUUGCUCGAACUACUGAAGCCGCGAGACACGGAUCAGAGUGCCAAGUGGGCCAUUUUUGGUAAGCAGAACUGGCGCUGUGGGAUGAACCAAACGCCGAGUUAAAGCGCCUAAAUCGACGCUUAUGGGAUACCAUGAAAGGCGUUGGUAACUUAAGACAGCAGGACGGUGGCCAUGGAAGUCGGAAUCCGCUCCGGAGUGUUGA
rnacentral:rRNA from 1 species